UUGGAGGGCAAGUCUGGUGCCAGCAGCCGCGGUAAUUCCAGCUCCAAUAGCGUAUAUUAAAGUUGUUGCAGUUAAAAAGCUCGUAGUUGAAUUUCGGGACCAAUUUGUUGGUCGUGCCUCGGUACGUACUGGUAUUAUUGGUUUCUACCUUCUGAAGAACCUUGAUGUCAUUAAUUUGGUGUCUUGGGGAAUCAGGACUGUUACUUUAGAAAAAAUUGAGUGUUUAAAGCAGGCAUACGCUUGAAUACAUUAGCAUGGAAUAAUGAAAUGGACGUUUGAUUCUAUUUUGUUGGUUUCUAGGAUCGAGUAAUGAUUAAUAGGGAUAGGUUCGGGGG
rnacentral:rRNA from 1 species